rnacentral:rRNA from 1 species
CGCAUCUGUGCAUGCAGCAUAUCAAUAGGCGGAGGAAAAGAAACUAACAAGGAUUCCCUCAGUAACGGCGAGUGAAGCGGGAAGAGCUCAAAUUUGAAAUCUUGAAAGGUCACCUUUCACGAAUUGUAGUUUAAAGAAGUGUUUUCUGUUACGAUCGUAAUAUAAGUUCUUUGGAAUAGGACAUCACAGAGGGUGAGAAUCCCGUCUAUGAUUGCGAUUUGUAGCUUUGUGAUACACUUUCAAAGAGUCGGGUUGUUUGGGAAUGCAGCCCAAAACGGGAGGUAAAUUUCUUCUAAGGCUAAAUAUUGGCGAGAGACCGAUAGCGAACAAGUACCGUGAGGGAAAGAUGAAAAGAACUUUGAAAAGAGAGUUAAAUAGUACGUGAAAUUGUCAAAAGGGAAGCGUUUAACACCAGUGUUGUUUUCUGAAAAUCAACCUCUGUUAGCUUUAUGCAUGUUUGUUUAGACCUAAUCAGCUAUCUUGCAUGUUCUAUUGUUUGCAGUGGUGCACUUUUCAGUUUACAGGUCAACAUCAGUUUUUUUUACCGUAAAAAAGUUAAAGAAAGGUAGCUCAUGGCUCCGGUCGUGAGUGUUAUAGUCUUUUUCCUAUGCGGUAGGAGAGACUGAGGUCUGCAGUGUAGGCUAUUUGGCUAGAUACUCAGGUGCUAUGUGAUACCAUUUCAUAAACAACUUGUUGAUUAUGUUUUGUCUAUUGCAUACUCGCUUGUACUAUCAUACCUACGCUUAGGAUGUUGACGAUCAGCUGAGCGCG